rnacentral:rRNA from 1 species
GACGAACGCUGGCGGCGUGCUUAACACAUGCAAGUCGAACGGAAAGGCCCUGCUUUUGUGGGGUGCUCGAGUGGCGAACGGGUAAGUAACACGUGAGUAACCUGCCCUUGACUUUGGGAUAACUUAAGGACACUGGGGCUCAUACCGGAUAGGAGCUCCUGCUGCAUGGUGGGGGUUGGAUGGUUUAGGCGGUUGGGGAUGGACUCGCGGCUUAUCAGCUUGUUGGUGGGGUAGUGUCUUACCAAGGCUUUGCAGGGUAGCCGGCCUGAGAGGGUGACCGGCCACAUUGGGACGGAGAUACGGCCCGGACUCCUACGGGAGGGAGCAGUGGGGAAGAGUGCACAAUGGGCGGAAGCCUGAUGCAGCAACGCCGCGUGCGGGAUGACGGCCUGCGGGUUGUAUACCGCUUUCGCCUGUGACGAAGCGUGAGUGACGGUAAUGGGUAAAGAAGCACCGGCUAACUACGUG